AGUGAGUAGUAUGGACUCUUAAUUUUUCUCCUCCCUCCAUUAAUUUCUCUUCCAGUGCAGACUUCAGUCUUAGACUUCCCAGCUGCCUUGAGGGAUUGGAUGAGCCUUGGCCAGCUCUUGAAGGAAACAAUAAAAUCAUUUUAAUGUGCUACUUUUCAUUUUGAAGUCGUUACAGUAUCAUUUGCAAAACUCAACAAGGAAAGAUGCCUGUGGAUGGCCGUGUUCUGGGAGUCACUGUGAUGAGGUUCUCACACGUCCCUGAGGAACUAGAGAGGAACGCCUCUGGGAAGCCCAGCCAGA